rnacentral:rRNA from 1 species
AUUGAACGCUGGCGGCAGGCCUAACACAUGCAAGUCGAACGAGUGGCGGACGGGUGAGUAAUGUCGGGGAAACUGCCUGAUGGAGGGGGAUAACUACUGGAAAAGGUAGCUAAUACCGCAUACCAUCGGAUGUGCCCAGAUGGGAUUAGCUAGUAGGGGGGGUAAAGGCUCACCUGGGCGACUAUGCCUAGCUGGUCUGAGAGGAUGACCGGCCACACUGGAACUGAGAAACGGUCCAGAAGCCUACGGGAGGCAGCAGUGGGGAAUAUUCGACAAUGGGCGAAAGCCUGAGGCAGCCAUGCCGCGUGUAUGAAGAAGGCCUUCGGGUUGUAAAGUACUUUCAGCGGGGAGGCGUUACCCGCAGAAGAAGCACCGGCUAACUCCGUGCCAGCAGCCGCGGUAAUAC